rnacentral:misc_RNA from 1 species
UUAACUUAUUUGUUUGUUUUUUCAGACGACAAAUGUAUAACGAGUUUGGUUGGGUCUUCGGCGGACGCUCGGCAGGCGGGUUCGCACCUGACCGCCGGGGCAUGACGCCCGGUCCGCCAAAGCAACUGAGGUAAAUAAUCAGAGGAUAUAGACACUGGAGGUUGCCCCCCGGUCUAUUUGAUAAUGAUCCUUCCGCAGGUUCACCUACGGAAA